UACGGGGGGAGCAAGCGUUGUUCGGAUUUACUGGGCGUAAAGGGCGCGUAGGCGGCCACUGCAAGUCGGUUGUGAAAUCUCCGGGCUUAACCCGGAAAGGUCAAUCGAUACUGCAGGGCUAGAGUGCGGAAGGGGCAACUGGAAUUCUCGGUGUAGCGGUGAAAUGCGUAGAUAUCGAGAGGAACACCUGCGGCGAAGGCGGGUUGCUGGGCUGACACUGACGCUGAGGCGCGAAAGCUAGGGGAGCGAACGGG
rnacentral:rRNA from 1 species